GAUGAAGAACGCAGCGAAAUGCGAUAAGUAAUGUGAAUUGCAGAAUUCAGUGAAUCAUCGAAUCUUUGAACGCACAUUGCGCCCCCUGGAAUUCCGGGGGGCAUGCCUGUUCGAGCGUCUCAGGGACGAACCCUCGCGCGGGUGUACGCGCGGUCGUGGCUGCGGUGGCGUGCCCGAGGCGGCGGCCACCGCGCUGGAAUCCAUGGGCGGACGCCUGCCGCGUGGCCGAGCGUGAUAUGACGCAUUGGCACUCGCACGCGGCGAGGCUGCCAGCCCUGGCCCGUCUGUCGGGCGGGGGAGAGCAAGACACGUGAACUCCUCGAAUCAGGUAGGGAUACCCGCUGAACUUAAGCAUAUCAAUAAGCGGAGGA
rnacentral:misc_RNA from 1 species